GGAUUGUAGCUCAAUGUUAGAGCACUUGCCUCGCAUGUGUGAGGCACUGGGUUCGAUCCUCAGCACCA
rnacentral:tRNA from 1 species